rnacentral:rRNA from 1 species
CCUACGUGGUGCAGCAGUGAGGAAUAUUGGUCAAUGGACGAGAGUCUGAACCAGCCAAGUAGCGUGAAGGAUGACUGCCCUAUGGGUUGUAAACUUCUUUUAUAAAGGAAUAAAACGAGGCCGUUUUGCCUUUUUGCAUUUCCUUUAUGAAUAAGGAUCGGCUAACUCCGUUCCAGCAGCCGCGGUAAUACGGAGGAUCCGAGCGUUAUCCGGAUUUAUUGGGUUUAAAGGGAGCGUAGAUGGGAUGUUAAGGCAGUUGUGAAAGUUUGCGGCUCAACCGUAAAAUUGCAAUUGAGACUGGCAGUCUUGAGUACAGGUGAGGUAGGCGGAAUUCGUGGUGUAGCGGUGAAAUGCUUAGAUAGCACGAAGAACCCCGAUUGCGAAGGCAGCUUACUAAACUGUGACUGACAUUGAUGCUCGAAAGUGUGGGUAUCAAACAGGAUUAGAUACCCUUGUAGUC